rnacentral:rRNA from 1 species
AUAGAACGCUGGCGGCAGGCUUUACACAUGCAAGUCGAGCGGGGACUUCGGUCCUAGCGGCGAACGGGUGAGGAAUGCUUGGGAAUCUGCCCAGUAGCGGGGGAUAACGUUUCGAAAGGAACGCUAAUACCGCAUACGCCCUACGGGGGAAAGGGGGGGAUCUUCGGACCUCUCACUAUUGGAUGAGCCCCAGUCGGAUUAGCUAGUUGGUGGGGUAAAGGCAUACCAAGGCGACGAUCCGUAGCUGGUCUGAGAGGAUGAUCAGCCACACUGGAACUGAGACACGGUCCAGACUCCUACGGGAGGCAGCAGUGGGGAAUAUUGGACAAUGGGCGAAAGCCUGAUCCAGCCAUGCCGCGUGUGUGAAGAAGGCCUUCGGGUUGUAAAGCACUUUAAGCGAGGAGGAGGCUACCUGGAUUAAUACUCUAGGAUAGUGGACGUUACUCGCAGAAUAAGCACCGGCUAACUCUGUGCCAGCCGCCGCCGUAAGAC